UAAAGUUAAUAUUCCUUCGGAAUAGAGCAACAAAGAAUGAGCGAGCGAGAUGUCACUAUCUGCAACCCUGUGUGAUAAAAAGAGAUGUGUGAUGCUAUCAUCGUCACGUCAAUAGAACCAUUUUUGCAAAAGAUUUGACAGGCAGUGACACAUAGAGGCACAAAGCAGAAUUUCAAAUCACAGUUUUUUCUAAAAAUUUCGUAAAAUCCUGUAUAGUUUUGGAAUUUUUUUAUUGUAAUACAAUGGUGACCUGUUCCGUCCUUGAUUGUGAUGUAAACCAGAGAAAUAAUCCCGCAAAAUAUUCAUUUCACAGAUUUCCGACUAACGAAGAUGUAAGAAAAACAUGGCUCAAAUUAAUUAAUCGUCCAAAUUGGAUUCCAACUAAAUAUGCCACUUUAUGUAGCAAACAUUUUGAUAGUAAAUGUUUUCGAAAAAUUGGAGCCAGAAUCACGUUGAAAAAAUGUGCAAUCCCUACAGAGUUUGUUCCGGUAAGUUUAAUUAAAAUAAUACUAUUUCUGGCAAUAAAUAUUUUCAUUUUCAUUUUCUUCUGAUGAUGUUUCGUUGGUUAGUAAUGUCAAUUUAUUACCUUGAUCUGGUUGUUUUCAUUGUUUUGAUAAAAAAUGUUUAACUAUAAGUUAUAAUUAAACUAUGAUUUCUAUGAAAUAGUCAAACACGGGUCUUAACGCGACAUUUAUUAAUGAGUUACAUUAUGUACUCACGGCUUGACGUUUCGGCUGCGAUGCUGCAGCCGUGGUCACAAGUAGACUGGCGGUUCGCGGCGUCGUCCGUUCGGGUGGGCAUGAAGAUUUUCAACUACCCUCAUAAUAAUAUAAAAUCUUAUAUGAUUUCUAUAGUCAA